GAUGAAGAACGCAGCGAAAUGCGAUAAGUAGUGUGAAUUACAGAAUUCAGUGAAUCAUCGAAUCUUUGAACGCACAUUGCGCCCUUUGGUAUUCCUUAGGGCAUGCCUGUUCGAGCGUCAUUUAAACCUUCAAGCUAAGCUUGGUGUUGGGUGACUGUCCGCUUCACGGCGGACUCGCCUCAAAAUUAUUGGCGGCCGGUACAUUGGCUUCGAGCGCAGCAGAAACGCGAACUCGGGCCCGUCGUAUUGGCUCCCAGAAGCUAUCUUCACAAUUUUGACCUCGGAUCAGGUAGGGAUACCCGCUGAACUUAAGCAUAUCAAUAAGCGGAGGA
rnacentral:misc_RNA from 1 species